CUUUUUAAUCUUCCUGGUAAGUAUAUAGAUGUCUAUUAUGUUUAUUUUUUGAAUUGAGGUAUAAUUUGCAUACCAUAAAAUCUACCCAUUAAAGCGUACAAGUGAGUAGUUUUUGGUAUUAAUAUAUUUACAGAGUUAUGUAAGUAUUAUCACUAAUUUUGGAACAUUCUUUAUCAGUGUUAUUUUGAUUGGCGUUUAUUUCCCUGAUGACUGAUGAUGUUGAAAAGCUUUUCAUGUGCUUACUGGCCAUUUGCAUAUAUUUUCUGGGGAAAUGUAUAUUCAAAUCAUUUUCCCAUUUUUUAAGUGAGUCAUGUUUUUAUUGUUCUAGGAAUUCUUUUUUAUAUUCUGGAUGCUAGUUCCUUAUUAGAUUUGCUCCAGAAC
rnacentral:lncRNA from 1 species